CAAAAAUAUGAACUAAUUCAGAGCAAGAGAAGAUUAAUAAUGGCUGGGAAGGGUUAAUAAAAAGGAAAAAGGAAGGAGUGGGAUGGUGGGAAAAAAGAAUUAUUCUUCAACAAUAAGCUUGAAGAGAAAUGGAAAAGUUAAAGGAAAGAAAACGUGAUAGAAAAUGAGGGGUAGACCUAGAAUGGCAUGGGUUGUUGUAGAAAAGGAUUAAGCAGCUCUAAAGCUUUCUGUAGGUGAACUAAUUAAAAUGGAAGAAGAUGAUCCAUAUAGCCAAUUUGAACUAGAUUGUGAUUAUUGCUAGAGUAAACUUAUGUGAAAUUGUCAGUACUGUCAUACAAAAUUGUCUACUUUUCUCUCAGAUCUUUUUGAUAACAUUAUAUGGACAAGUGGAAGUGCAUCCUCAUGUUUUUCAUCCUUUUUUU
rnacentral:misc_RNA from 1 species